AGAGUUUGAUCCUGGCUCAGGAUUAACGCUGGCGGCAUGCCUAAUACAUGCAAGUCGAACGAAAAAUAUAUAGAUGCUUGCAUUUAGAUAUUUUUAGUGGCGAACGGGUGAGUAAUAUAUAGAUAACCUACCUUUAAGUUGGGGAUAACAGAGGGAAACUUUUGCUAAUACCGAAUAAAAUAAUUAGACGCAUGUUUAAUUAUUAAAAGGGGCUUCAAAGCCCCGCUCUAAGAGGGGUCUAUAUCGCAUUAGCUAGUUGGUAAGAUAACAGCCUACCAAGGCUAUGAUGCGUAGCUGUACUGAGAGGUAGAACAGCCACAUUGGGACUGAGAUACGGCCCAAACUCCUACGGGAGGCAGCAGUAGGGAAUUUUCGGCAAUGGGGGGAACCCUGACCGAGCAAUGCCGCGUGAUUGAAGAAGAUCUUCGGAUCGUAAAGAUCUGUUAUUAGGGAAGAAUGGAAUUGAUAGGAAAUGAUCAAUUUAUGACGGUGCCUAAUGAGGAAGCCCCGGCUAACUAUGUGCCAGCAGCCGCGGUAAUACAUAGGGGGCGAGCGUUAUCCGGAAUUAUUGGGCGUAAAGGGUACGUAGGCGGGCCUGCAAGUCUGAUUUGAAAGCACACGGCUUAACCGUGUGAGGUAAUUAGAAACUACAGGUCUAGAGAGUGGUAGAGGUAAAUGGAAUUCCGAGCGGAGCGGUGAAAUGCGUAGAGAUUUGGAGGAACACCAGUGGCGAAGGCGGUUUACUGGGCCACAUCUGACGCUGAUGUACGAAAGCGUGGGGAGCAAACAGGAUUAGAUACCCUGGUAGUCCACGCCGUAAACGAUGAGUGCUAAGUAUCGAAGGAUUCGGUGCUUAAGCUUACGGCGUAAGCCCUCCGCGCCGGGGGAGUACGGUCGUCAAACUGAAAAUCAAAGGAAUUUGCGGGGAAUUCUCCCAACGGGGGGAACAUGGCGGUUUAA
rnacentral:rRNA from 1 species